rnacentral:lncRNA from 1 species
GGUAUGCAAUAAAUGAAAAUACAACCAUGUUAGAGUUACAACUUAAAUUGAUUAACCUGAUUAAACUCAACAUGAUUUGUUCUCUGAGUUUGUUCAUAGCGCUAUUCUUGUAAACUCGGUCUUAACCGAGUAAGCUAGAAAUACUUCGUUUAUUAUUCUUGAUAUAUUAUAAAGAUGAAUAGCCUUUCUAAUGGUUAAGUAACUUUACUCUUUAUUUCACAAGUUUAAAUAUCAUAUUUAUACUUCUGGUCCUCUCACCC